UUCCCAAACUACAGGAACAUCUGAGAAAACAUUUUGAGCUUUUUUUCAAAACUUUACCUCACAAUUCCUGGGUCUGAACUGUGCCCAAGGGGCCAAACCCAGGAUCAGUCAACCUGACUAUCUUUCAGGGAGUACAGGCUGCCAAAGCCUGAGUUUCCCCCAAACUUGAGGAGGGAGGGAAAGGGGUUAAUUAGAGAAAGGGACCACCUUUUCUCCAUUUUCUUUUUCCAUUUUUUUCCCUGCCAGCCAUUUCUUUGUAUUACCCUAAUUGAAUUAAUUUACAUUAAAGUGGUUAUCCUUUCCCAAAUUUGAAUCAAGUGUGAGUGAAACAGCUUAAGGGAAAGAGACAGCUUCCUAAGAAGAAACAUUUUAGACUUUAGUAGUAGAGGGGGACAAGAACCAAUCUGUGCGAGCAGCCAUAGAUGAGGAGAGAAGGCUGAAGGAGGAAAUUCUUCAAACCCCCUCUCCUCUCUCUGAGCCAACACUAAACAUCAGCUGUCUCUCCUAGAUCCUGUUUCUUUACCACCAGCAAACCUUCUCCAUUACACUAUUUGUAGUCCAAUGUAAAGGAAGUCAUGAAUAUGAGAGACUUUUCAGAAAUUAGAUGGACAGGAGUCUUUAUUUAAUUUGGGUAUAGUGAUAGGGAAUAGGAAAGCAUCAAAAAAUGUCCCCAAAAUUUCAAGCCUGGGAGGGUGGAAGAAUGAUGUUGCUAUCAAAAAGAAAUAAGGAAGUUUGGAAAAGAAAAACGUUUUCAAAGUUUCAUCAGAUCCCAGUGCAGCGAUUAUCUAAAGGAAUGGUGGGAAUGAGAUAUGAAGAUUCAUCUUUAUCAUUUCAUACAGAAAUUUGUGGCACAAUGCCACAUUGGGCCUGGAGUCAAGAAGAUAUCAAUCUAAAUCGGAGGUCAAAAUUUUCCUAUGUGACCUUGGAGGUCUAGAAUUCCCUCCCUCUGUGUUAAUGCCUCUUGGCUUCCUUCGUGGAAAGGAAAACUAAACCAAGUUCUGGACUUUCUGCCACUGAGUUGGAACCAACAGCAGUUGGAGUGUUAGAGAGAGAAGAUAUUAACAAGACUGACACUGG
rnacentral:lncRNA from 1 species